rnacentral:rRNA from 1 species
GCAUAUCAAUAAGCGGAGGAAAAGAAACCAACAGGGAUUGCCCUAGUAACGGCGAGUGAAGCGGCAACAGCUCAAAUUUGAAAUCUGGCGUCUUUGGCGUCCGAGUUGUAAUUUGCAGAGGGCGCUUUGGCAUUGGCAGCGGUCCAAGUUCCUUGGAACAGGACGUCACAGAGGGUGAGAAUCCCGUACGUGGUCGCUAGCCUUUACCGUGUAAAGCCCCUUCGACGAGUCGAGUUGUUUGGGAAUGCAGCUCUAAAUGGGAGGUAAAUUUCUUCUAAAGCUAAAUACUGGCCAGAGACCGAUAGCACACAAGUAGAGUGAUCGAAAGAUGAAAAGCACUUUGGAAAGAGAGUUAAAAAGCACGUGAAAUUGUUGAAAGGGAAGCGCUUGCAGCCAGACUUGCCUGUAGUUGCUCAUCCGGGUUUUUACCCGGUGCACUCUUCUACGGGCAGGCCAGCAUCAGUUUGGGCGGUUGGAUAAAGGUCUCUGUCACGUACCUCCUCUCGGGGAGAUCUUAUAGGGGAGACGACAUGCAACCAGCCUGGACUGAGGUCCGCGCAUCUGCUAGGAUGCUGGCGUAAUGGCUGUAAGCGGCCCGUCUUGAAACACGGACC